UCGGACGCCCUGUUGCCGCUCUCCUACUCUAGUUGCGAUAUCGAGUCAAUUCAAACGUGUUUUAGCUCUUAUAAGAACAGUGGCUCGCCGACGACCGCAGGCAGUCCUUUAUGUUGGUUCUUUCGAUUCGGGUGGCGGUGCGUAGCAUGCGACCGUUGGCGUGAGACGCAAAACAUUUGGGGCCUGAGACAAGAUUUAGCUAUUAUUUUUAGAUGUCUUAAUAUGCGAAGCAAUGUAGCAAGAGAAAACUGGCAUUAGGCCCUUUCCUUUAGUUUGUACAACGAUUCCUACUCGGCCCUCAACUUGUCGGAGAACAGUGGCUUAUCUUCAGCAGGUUGGUACAGCGUGAGCUUCAAUGAUGCCGCGUACGCAACUCGCCAGCAUCGCCUUCGUAUUCCUAGUCUUGGCAGCCUCGCACGGUGUGUCGUCCGCUUUGGGUACCUGCAAGCCUAACCCAACGUCGCCCUACCUCGGCGAACGCGCAACCUGCCCGUUCACGAUGACCCUGGACUGGGACCCCACCCGGAUCCCUCCGGUGAUUCAUGUUGCCAAGUGCAACUGCCCGGACAGUCGCUAUAGCGACGUGGGCGACUUCCGCUGUCAAGAGGUAAGGAGCACGUUUCGGGUGGCGUACCACGUUGGAGACGGCACCUCAUCGGAACUGACCUACAAGACGGUGGAACUGACAACGUCGUGCGUCUGCGUCGUCAGCAUGUCGGUCCAAGCGGUGUUGGGAAUCCAUCGAGCCCACGUGAAAGUGAUCCCGAAGCGGAAAUAUACCCCCACGACUGACAGUGGGCCAGUGCCGUCAGCGCCUUCGUAGAGGGAGGAGCAGUAUGGGAACGCUGGCAUGAUGAGCACCAUCCCAGCCAGCUGCGGAAGACGACGACGAUGACGACGCCGAGGACGAACGUGCGAGCUUUGACACGAGUCAUUGCUGGUGAUGGUAGUUUUUGUACGCAAAGAUUUGUUGACGGAGACGAAAAAAGCAUGGAACCAUAGCUAAAAACAGCUUCGCUGCAAAAUGGAGUAGCAAUCGACAGCCAUUUGUUCGCUACGGCCAGUUGUUUCUAUUAUUUUAUUUACAAAACCUUGUUUAGUUAUUCGUGAAAUAAAUUGCAAUUUAUUUUACUCCAUGAGCGAGGUGAAGAUAAUCUUAACAAAUUGUUGCACGAUUCAUUGCGAAUACGGUGAUGUAGACCGCAGUUAUGCAUAUUAGUCACCAAAUUUGUCCCCAAUCUCCUAUGUUUAAGAACAAAGAUAACACCAAAUCUUACGCGUGCCUCUCCAAGGACAGGUACGCCUAUAGAUAACAUCCUGCCCCUUCUUUUAUAUAAUGACGGGAAACGGUUGGUGCGUACAUAGACUGGACAUAAAUGUAUAUUUAAAAAUGCUAUGGUACAAUAAAGUGUUUUAGAAAUGUUA